UGAUAGAUGCCUUCAAUAUACCUAAUGCCUGCACCAUAACAAAACUCUUCAUAACCCCUUACAAACAAAUCAACAAAAUGCGAAUUUUGGUUACAUGCACUGCAAGAAAAUCGCUAAUAGAUGACAGGCCAGAAGCGUCAGAUAAAAAAAUUACCUCAUCGAGUCCGAUCUGCACCUCCGUCUCUUUCACAUCCGAGAGAGGAACUCCGAGAUCGUUGAGAAUCAAAAUGCUUGAAGCUAAACUAGGGUUCAUGGUUAAAUCAUCGGCUACAAAAAACAUCGUUUGCUUCUUCACAUAUCCUUCCUUGCUCGACUUGAACGAUGAAACCAACGUUCCUUCUUUCUCAUGAAAAGUAUACUCAU
rnacentral:lncRNA from 1 species